AACGUACGCUGGCGGCACGCCUAACACAUGCAAGUCGAACGAAGUAGCAAUACUUAGUGGCAAACGGGUGAGUAAUAUGUGGGAAUCUGCCUAUCGGUCUGGAAUAACAUGAGGAAACUUAUGCUAAUACCGGAUAAGCCUUUACAGGGAAAGCUUUAUGCUCCGAUUGAUGAGUCCGCAUUUGAUUAGUUAGUUGGUGGGGUAAUGGCUUACCAAGACAAUGAUCAAUAGCUGAUUUGAGAGGAUGAUCAGCCACAUUGGGACUGAGACACGGCCCAAACUCCUACGGGAGGCAGCAGUGGGGAAUUUUGCACAAUGGGGGAACCUGAUGCAGCGAUGCCGCGUGAGUGAAGAAGGCCUUUGGGUUGUAAAGCUCUUUCGUCGGGGAAGAAAAUGACUGUACCCGAAUAAGAAGGUCCGGCUAACUUCGUGCCAGCAGCCGCGGUAAUACGAAGGGACCUAGCGUAGUUCGGAAUUACUGGGCUUAAAGAGCACGUAGGUGGUUAAAAAAGUUGGUGGUGAAAUCCCAAGAGCUUAACUCUGGAACUGCCAUCAAAACUUUUUAGCUAGAGUAUGAUAGAGGAAAGUAGAAUUUCUAGUGUAGAGGUGAAAUUCGUAGAUAUUAGAAAGAAUACCAAUUGCGAAGGCAGCUUUCUGGAUCAUUACUGACACUGAGGUGCGAAAGCAUGGGUAGCGAAGAGGAUUAGAUACCCUCGUAGUCCAUGCUGUAAACGAUGUGUGCUAGACGUUGGAAAUUUAUUUUCAGUGUCGCAGCAAAAGCGUUAAGCACACCGCCUGGGGAGUACGACCGCAAGGUUAAAACUCAAAUGAAUUGACGGGGACCCGCACAAGCAGUGGAGCAUGUGGUUUAAUUCGAAGAUACGCGCAGAACCUUACCAACACUUGACAUGUUUGUCGCGACUUUAAGAGAUUAAAGUCUUCGGUUCGGCCGGACAAAACACAGGUGCUGCAUGGCUGUCGUCAGCUCGUGUCGUGAGAUGUUGGGUUAAGUCCCGCAACGAGCGCAACCCUCACUUUUAGUUGCCAUCAUUUAGUUGGGCACUCUAAAAGAACUGCCAGUGAUAAGCUGGAGGAAGGUGGGGAUGACGUCAAGUCCUCAUGGCCCUUACGUGUUGGGCUACACACGUGCUACAA
rnacentral:rRNA from 1 species